GACGAACGCUGGCGGCGUGCUUAACACAUGCAAGUCGAACGGUGAAGCUCCAGCUUGCUGGAGUGGAUCAGUGGCGAACGGGUGAGUAACACGUGAGCAACCCGCCCCUGACUCUGGAAUAAGCGCUGGAAACGGCGUCUAAUACUGGAUACGAGAAGGGUCCGCAUGGGCACUUUCUGGAAAGUUUUUCGGUUGGGGAUGGGCUCGCGGCCUAUCAGCUUGUUGGUGAGGUAAUGGCUCACCAAGGCGACGACGGGUAGCCGGCCUGAGAGGGCGACCGGCCACACUGGGACUGAGACACGGCCCAGACUCCUACGGGAGGCAGCAGUGGGGAAUAUUGCACAAUGGGCGAAAGCCUGAUGCAGCGACGCCGCGUGAGGGAUGACGGCCUUCGGGUUGUAAACCUCUUUCAGCAGGGAAGAAGCGAAAGUGACGGUACCUGCAGAAGAAGCACCGGCUAACUACGUG
rnacentral:rRNA from 1 species